rnacentral:lncRNA from 1 species
GCCCAUUUGCACAUAUUUUCUUCUAACUUCAUCUCUAAUCCGAGGCUCGUACUCGUUGAUGCAUUUGCGCAAUCCCGGAUCACCAAUAAUAUCAUUAACAUCCUCACAUAACGGCUCAAUAGGUUGUGGUUGCGAUUGUGAUUGUGAUUGUGGUUGUGAGUCUUGUGACGUAGUUGUUGUGAACGGCCUCUUAGUUCGUUGAAAAUAUUUUUU